rnacentral:rRNA from 1 species
GACGAACGCUGGCGGCGUGCUUAACACAUGCAAGUCGAACGGAAAGGCCCUGCUUUCGUGGGGUGCUCGAGUGGCGAACGGGUGAGUAACACGUGAGUAACCUGCCCUUGACUUUGGGAUAACUUCAGGAAACUGGGGCUAAUACCGGAUAGGAGCUCCCGCUGCAUGGUGGGGGUUGGAACGUUUCGGCGGUCGGGGAUGGACUCGCGGCUUAUCAGCUUGUUGGUGGGGUAGUGGCUGACCAAGGCUUUGACGGGUAGCCGGCCUGAGAGGGUGAACGGCGACAUUAGGACUGAGAUACGGCCCAGACUCCUACGGGAGGCAGCAGUGGGGAAUAUUGCACAAUGGGCGGAAGCCUGAUGCAGAAACGCCGCGUGCGGGAUGACGGCCUUCGGGUUAAAAACCGCUUUCGCCUGUGACGAAGCGUGAGUGACGGUAAUGGGUGAAGAAGCACCGGCUAACUACGUG